UACGGGGGGGGCAAGCGUUGUUCGGAAUUACUGGGCGUAAAGGGUUCGUAGGUGGCCAACUAAGUCAGACGUGAAAUCCCUCAGCUUAACUGGGAACUGCGUCUGAGACUGGAUGGCUUGAGUGCAGGAGAGGAACGCGGAAUUCCGGGUGUAGCGGUGAAAUGCGUAGAUAUCUGGAGGAACACCGGUGGCGAAGGCGGCGUUCUGGACUGCUACUGACACUGAGGAACGAAAGCCAGGGGAGCAAACGGG
rnacentral:rRNA from 1 species